GACGAACGCUGGCGGCGUGCUUAACACAUGCCAGUCGAACGGAAAGGCCCCUUUGGGGGUACUCGAGUGGCGAACGGGUGAGUAACACGUGAGUAACCUGCCCUUGACUUCGGGAUAACUUCAGGAAACUGGGGCUAAUACCGGAUACGAAUCCUUGCUGCAUGGUGGGGGUUGGAAAGCUUCGGCGGUUUUGGAUGGACUCGCGGCUUAUCAGCUUGUUGGUGGGGUAGUGGCUUACCAAGGCUUUGACGGGUAGCCGGCCUGAGAGGGCGACCGGCCACAUUGGGACUGAGAUACGGCCCAGACUCCUACGGGAGGCAGCAGUGGGGAAUAUUGCACAAUGGGCGGAAGCCUGAUGCAGCAACGCCGCGUGCGGGAUGACGGCCUUCGGGUUGUAAACCGCGUUCAGCAGGGGCGAAGCUUGUGGUGACGGUACCUGCAGAAGAAGCACCGGCUAACUACGUG
rnacentral:rRNA from 1 species